rnacentral:tRNA from 1 species
UGGCCCAUGGUGUAACGGUAGCACUCUUGGUUUUGAUCCAAGCAGUCCUAGUUCGAAUCUAGGUGGGCCAG